rnacentral:rRNA from 1 species
CCUACGGGGGGCAGCAGUGGGGAAUAUUGCACAAUGGGCGCAAGCCUGAUGCAGCCAUGCCGCGUGUGUGAAGAAGGCCUUCGGGUUGUAAAGCACUUUCAGCGGGGAGGAAGGCGGUGAGGUUAAUAACCUCAUCGAUUGACGUUACCCGCAGAAGAAGCACCGGCUAACUCCGUGCCAGCAGCCGCGGUAAUACGGAGGGUGCAAGCGUUAAUCGGAAUUACUGGGCGUAAAGCGCACGCAGGCGGUCUGUCAAGUCGGAUGUGAAAUCCCCGGGCUCAACCUGGGAACUGCAUUCGAAACUGGCAGGCUAGAGUCGUGUAGAGGGGGGUAGAAUUCCAGGUGUAGCGGUGAAAUGCGUAGAGAUCUGGAGGAAUACCGGUGGCGAAGGCGGCCCCCUGGACAAAGACUGACGCUCAGGUGCGAAAGCGUGGGGAGCAAACGGGAUUAGAUACCCGUGUAGUC